rnacentral:rRNA from 1 species
UACGUAGGGGGCAAGCGUUGUCCGGAUUCAUUGGGCGUAAAGAGCUCGUAGGCGGUUCGGCAAGUCGGGUGUGAAAACUCCAGGCUCAACCUGGAGACGCCACCCGAUACUGCUGUGACUUGAGUCCGGUAGGGGACCACGGAAUUCCUGGUGUAGCGGUGAAAUGCGCAGAUAUCAGGAGGAACACCGGUGGCGAAGGCGGUGGUCUGGGCCGGCACUGACACUGAGGCACGAAAGCGUGGGGAGCAAACAGG